rnacentral:tRNA from 1 species
GCUCUUGUGGUGAAAUGGUAUACACGUUAGAUUGAGGUUCUAAUCCGGAAACGGGUGCAAGUUCGAGUCUUGUCAAGAGCACCA